AGUGAACGCUGGCGGUAGGCCUAACACAUGCAAGUCGAACGGCAGCACAGUAAGAGCUUGCUCUUACGGGUGGCGAGUGGCGGACGGGUGAGGAAUACAUCGGAAUCUACUUUUUCGUGGGGGAUAACGUAGGGAAACUUACGCUAAUACCGCAUACGACCUACGGGUGAAAGCAGGGGAUCUUCGGACCUUGCGCGAUUGAAUGAGCCGAUGUCGGAUUAGCUAGUUGGCGGGGUAAAGGCCCACCAAGGCGACGAUCCGUAGCUGGUCUGAGAGGAUGAUCAGCCACACGGGAAGUGAGACACGGUCCAGACUCCUACGGGAGGCAGCAGUGGGGAAUAUUGGACAAUGGGGGCAAGCCUGAUCCAGCCAUACCGCGUGGGUGAAGAGGGCCUUCGGGUGGUAAAGCCCUUUUGUUGGGAAAGAAAAGCAGCAGGUUAAUACCCCGCUGUUCUGACGGUACCCAAAGAAUAAGCACCGGCUAACUUCGUG
rnacentral:rRNA from 1 species